AUUCAGAGCUUGCUCCGUGGGAGGAAUCAGUGACUGUUACUGACUGGCGUUUUGGCAGAAACUCAAAGGCAGGCAGGGGAAUGGGAAAGUUUCACAGUGGGGACAAAAGGCAGGCUUCCAAAAAUGCCUUCCCUGGAGGCUGAUGAUAGGAGGGACAGGAGGAAGCCUUAGGCAGGCGACCUGGAGGUGGGGCAUCCCAUGUGAUGGGUUAAGGGUGUUAAUCGGUUUUGUCUGUGGUUGGUCCUGAGUUUGAGCUGAGGACAAACGUUAGGAAGGCUGUCAGCUAUGGAUGGGGUCCGGGUGGUUUGGGGCUGUUAUAGAGGUGACUGUUCAUCUUCCUGGAUUGUUGCUGGAGCUCCGGGUCUGGCUUCCCGGGCUGUUGACUGUGGAUGAGGCAGGUUCUGGGCAGCUUGCAGGGGUGGUGGGUCAGAGUCCCAGCUGGACAUGUGGUCUGGCCGUGGUCCACCUGUAUGCUCAAUAUCUCACUUGUAUAACUUCAUGAUUACUGUGAGCGGCAGACAUUAAUAUUUAGGCUGAGAGUUCCUUGAGACCUGAGAAUUAUUUCAAGGGUUCCCCCAGAGUGAAAAUAUUGAGAAAGGCUGCCUCUGAUUCCUCAUCUGUGAAAUGGGGAUAAUGAUACCUAUUUCGGGACUGUAAUAAGGACUGAAGGAUAGGAGGCUUUUGGUGUUUUGUUUUGUUUUGUAUUUUACAAAAUCAAGUGCCCUACAUGGAACCCCUCAGGUAGCAGUAGACUUUCUGGGAGGAGGCGUGCAGACUAGCCCAGGUUGGCGUCUAAAUGGGUGGCCAAGAGUGGACAGCGAUAACCCAUCCUUCAACAGGGUGCCGGGCUGUGCACAGCCCAGACCCGGACUGCCGCUGGCAACAAUGUGGGACAGGGUGCAUUCGCUCACAGCGCACAGGUCCACCGGGCACCCACAGCGCGGUGCCCACUCGCCCAUACCUGCCACCCCGUGGCCGGAAACGCCUGCACCGCCAGCCGGAAGUAUCUCACCGCGGAGGCUCCCGGGAAUUGUAGUUCCGUCCAGUCCAGGGGCGUCUCGGCUGUGUCUGGAGGUCUCCGAGAGCGGUCUGCGCACUUCCGGACCCCCGGCUGGGCUUGCUGUGGUCGGUGCCUCGGACCCGGCCGGUUCUGAGGCCCCCGCUGCAUCUAGGCCUGGCGAUUCCCUCCGCCCGAGCGGUAGAGAGGCCCAGUCUUGUCGGAGCCCACAGUCCGCAACGGGCUUAGCGCGGUGGACCCAGUGA
rnacentral:lncRNA from 12 species